rnacentral:rRNA from 1 species
UCCCUUAGAUGUUCUGGGCUGCACGCGCGCUACACUGAUGCGUUCAACGAGUGUAUCACCUUGCCCGAUAGGGUUGGGUAAUCUUUUGAACACGCAUCGUGAUGGGGAUAGAUUAUUGCAAUUAUUAAUCUUCAACGAGGAAUUCCUAGUAAUGAUGAAUCAUCAGUUCAUCGUGAUUACGUCCCUGCCCUUUGUACACACCGCCCGUCGCUCCUACAGAUUGAGCAGUCCGGUGAAUACUUCGGACCGUUUGCAUAGAUGGUUCGCCAUCUUUGCGAAUGGAAAGUCGAGUGAACCUUACUGCUUAGAUGAAGGAGAAGUCGUAACA